rnacentral:rRNA from 1 species
GAUGAACGCUGGCGGCGUGCCUAAUACAUGCAAGUCGAGCGGACGGACGAGGAGCUUGCUUCUCUGAUGUUAGCGGAGGACGGGAGAGUAACACGUGGAUAACCUACCUAUAAGACGGGGAUAACUACGGGAAACCGGAGCUAAUACGGGAGAAUAUUUUGAACCACAUGGUUCAAAAGUGAAAGACGGUCGUGCUGUCACUUAUAGAGGGAUCCGGGCUGCAUGAGCUGGUUGUUAAGGUAACGGGCUACCAAGGGAACGAUGCAUAGCCGACCUGAGAGGGGGAUCGCCGACCCUGGAACUGAGCCAGCGUCAAGACGCCUACGGGAGGCAGCAGAAGGGUACCUGAGGCAGUGGGCGAAAGCAUGACGGAGCAGGGGCGAGUGAGAGGUGAAGGUCUUCGGAUCGUAAAACUCUGUUAUUAGGGAAGAACCGCUGUGUAAGUAACUGUGCACAGCGUGACGGUACCUAAUCAGAAAGCACCGGCUAACUACGUG